AAUGAGAACACAGUUCAUGCACGGAGCUCACUUCUAACGAGCUGAUUAUCUGAAUCAGAUGUGUUAACAAAGAGAGACGUGCGAAAUAUGCAGAGCUGGGGGGCGCGAGGACUGGAAUUGAGAACUGCUGGGGUAGAGUAGCGCUUGUUGUUUGUCGUUUCUCCGAUCACAAAUACAGACAUGGUUUUAUGUUUACGCUGCGUGAUGCAAAGCGUAAAAAUACAGUAUAAGUCAUUAUAAUCCAUAAUUAUGUCCCCACUGGAUGCAACAAAUGGUUCGUUUGUAAUGGGUUUUAUUGUUUUUGUCUUGUCUCGCUAGUGUUCUGACUGGGACACGCAUCACAGUACGACAAGGGGCGUAACAUUUCCGUCACAUGCUUGAGGCAUUCGGCCAAUCACAAAGCACUGGAUAGCUGGCCAAUCAGAGCACACCUCACUUUUUAGACCGAUGAGGUUUGUAAAAAAAUGCAGUGUUUCAGAAAGGCGGGGCAUAGAGGAGAAACAAUAAUGUACAGUGGUUCCCACUGAAGUGCAGUGCAACGGCUGCCAUGCAAAGAUGCUGAAGGUCACAGAGAAGAUGAUCAAAGUGAUAAGAGAACAAACAGGACAGGGUGACAUCAACCCCACAGACACCGCAGGAACAUUCUGGCUGUUUUAAAUAAAAACGGCAGCACACUGACUGCUGAUCAGAGGCAGGGGAACAAUUCAGGCCUCAAGCGUGUGGAUACAUCAGAAGCAGCUGUAUCAGCACUAGGCCAGAUUUUCGAGCUCAUGCUAUCAUUAAUGCUGUGGUGGAUGAGUGGCGGAGAAGCUCUUUCCCUCGCUGUUCCAAAGAUCACUGCGGUGGGCAUACAGGGCGACCCUACUAAAGACCUCCUGUGCACAGAGCCCCUUAGCCACUGCCAGUUUCACAUCCCAUCAGCACUGAGCUCUCAACUAAAGGAGGAAAAACAAGAGGUCCUGCAGAUCCUUCUGCAAAUGGAGGAUGAAAAAAACCCAUUCAUUUCAGCUGCAGAGCCUCUCAUAUCAACCACUCUCGCAGCCAUGGAGUUUGCUACACCACAGGGGCAGAACAUUUCCAUUGCCAACCUGACGCUAGACACUGCGAUACAAUUUACUUUACACAAAAACUAAAAGAUUUUACUCUGGCACCCAAGGGAAGUGUAAAUUUCACAGUCAAAGCAAUGGACAAAGAUCCUCAGACUGGCCUCUAUGUUGCCUUAAACUUCAGUUUUAUUCCAGGUUAUAUACACCAGUCAUUUAAUUUAAUUAG
ensembl:lncRNA